GGUUGCGAUCAUACCAGCACUAAUGCACCGGAUCCCAUCAGAACUCCGCAGUUAAGCGUGCUUGGGCGAGAGUAGUACUAGGAUGGGUGACCCUCUGGGAAGUCCUCGUGUUACACCCU
rnacentral:rRNA from 1 species